rnacentral:rRNA from 1 species
UACGUAGGGUGCGAGCGUUGUCCGGAAUUACUGGGCGUAAAGAGCUCGUAGGCGGCUCGUCGCGUCGGUUGUGAAAUCCCGUGGCUUAACUGCGGGCUUGCAGCUGAUACGGGCGGGCUAGAGUUCGGUAGGGGAGACUGGAAUUCCUGGUGUAGCGGUGAAAUGCGCAGAUAUCAGGAGGAACACCGGUGGCGAAGGGCGGGGUCUCUGGGCCGAUACUGACGCUGAGGAGCGAAAAGCGUGGGGGAGCGAACAGG